UACGAAGGGGGCUAGCGUUGCUCGGAAUCACUGGGCGUAAAGGGUGCGUAGGCGGGUCUUUUAAGUCGGGGGUGAAAUCCUGGAGCUCAACUCCAGAACUGCCCUUGAUACUGGCGGUCUCGAGUCCGGGAGAGGUGAGUGGAACUGCGAGUGUAGAGGUGAAAUUCGUAGAUAUUCGCAAGAACACCAGUGGCGAAGGCGGCUCACUGGCCCGGUACUGACGCUGAGGUGCGAAAGCGUGGGGAGCAAACAGGG
rnacentral:rRNA from 1 species